AACGAACGCUGGCGGCAGGCUUAACACAUGCAAGUCGAGCGCCCCUCAAUGUGAGCGUCAGUCGGGUGAGUAACGCGUGGGUACGUACCUUUUGUUUCGGAUCAACUCCGGGAGACUGUAGCUCAUGCCGGCUAAGCCCUAACGUCGAAAGAUUUAUCGCCGAAAGAUCGGCCCGCGUCUGAUUAGCUAGUUGGUGAGGUAACGGCUCACCAAGGCGACGCUCAGUAGCUGGUUUGAGAGGAUGAACAGCCACACUGGGACUGAGACACGGACCAGACUCGUACGGGAGGCAGCAGUGGGGAAUAUGAGACAAUGGGCGCAAGCCUGAGAAAGACAUGCCGCGUGAGUGAUGAAGGCCUUAGGGGGGUAAAGCUAGUUUGUCCGGGAAGAUAAUGACUGUACCGGAAGAAUAAGCACCGGCUAACUUCGUG
rnacentral:rRNA from 1 species